AAUAGAUACCCCGGUAGUCCACGCCGUAAACGAUGAGUGCUAAGUGUUAGGGGGUUUCCGCCCCUUAGUGCUGCAGCUAACGCAUUAAGCACUCCGCCUGAGGAGUACGGUCGCAAGACUGAAACUCAAAGGAAUUGACGGGGGCCCGCACAAGCGGUGGAGCAUGUGGUUUAAUUCGAAGCAACGCGAAGAACCUUACCAGGUCUUGACAUCCCACUGACCGCUAUGGAGACAUAGUUUUCCCUUCGGGGACAGUGGUGACAGGUGGUGCAUGGUUGUCGUCAGCUCGUGUCGUGAGAUGUUGGGUUAAGUCCCGCAACGAGCGCAACCCUUGAUCUUAGUUGCCAUCAUUUAGUUGGGCACUCUAAGGUGACUGCCGGUGACAAACCGGAGGAAGGUGGGGAUGACGUCAAAUCAUCAUGCCCCUUAUGACCUGGGCUACACACGUGCUACAAUGGACGGUACAAACGGUUGCCAACCCGCGAGGGGAGCUAAUCCGAUAAAACCGUUCUCAGUUCGGAUUGUAGGCUGCAACUCGCCUAC
rnacentral:rRNA from 1 species